UAAAGGGAGAGUAAUAAGCCAGGGGAAUUGACUUCGGAUUUGCGGCUGCAGAAAAGCGCCCCGUCCCAUUGUUACUGCACUGUGAAAAUCUGAGCCCUGAAGCACCUAUGGAAAUGCACGAGUUUUCACUGGGACCGAAAUAAUGAUUUUCUGUGCCCUCUAAUGAAGUUUUCAGUCUUCUGUCACCAGAUAUAAUGUAAGGACUGCAGAAAUGCAAGCAGAGUGUAGCAGCAAUGUGAUCAAAGCUUUGAACUUCUCUGCAUUAAAAAGCCGCCGAAGCAUUGCAGAGUCCCACGGACAUGUGGCUGAGGGGUGUGAAUGCCUGCAUCACUUUGAAGGUUUUAAGCGAAACGAAGGGGCUGUGGAGGCACUUUGAGUUGCUGAACGGCUCCUCGGGAUUUUGGCUUUUGGGAACGCUCCUAAGAACUCCUUCUUUAUGCUGUGGUGUGCAGAGGCACGGCAGUUUAUGCUUAAAUCUGCUUCGUAAGCACCCAGCCCUGCCAUCCAGCUCAUCAGCUGUCUGCUAUUUCGUGCUGCACUCCUCCUGACCAUGUAUACGUGCUGUACCCCUGUGUCUGAGCCCGCUUGUUCUGUAGCUUCGUGGACACGAGUCAGAUUUAUGUGCUUGUGUGUGUAGGAGCUGGGCUUCAGUGGCGAGAGAAACAUCUCUGUUUCUAAAUCGGGUCUUCUACUGUAUGGUGGCUGUAUGCGCUGCAUAGCAUUGCUUCGGCAGCCGAAUUUUUCUAUCAGCUUCACGCAAUGUAACGCUCCAAGAGGCAGACAGGGCAGGCAGCUCUACGUUGCAUUUAAAUGGGCACCAUAAAGGCUCGAUGGCCAAGUGCCCGAUGCUGCGCCCCUUUCAAUGUCCCGCAGCGGGAGCUGCACCCCCAGCUCACCCGGCAGCCCCACGAGCAAAGUGCCGCUGCCAGCCAGGAGGGCCCCACGGUGAGGAGGAAAGCACAGCUCCAGCAGCACUGACAGCAGGCCGGCUGGGUGCUGGCUGGGCUCAGCGACCAGGGCUGCACAUGUGUCACUUCUGCGGGGUUCUUUAAGUGCUUGCAGAAUUUAAAGGCACGCACCGCCUGACAGGGGCCCAUCUUGCAAUACAUUAACCAGAUCUUUCUGAGUUGAUUAAUGGCUUCGGGCUUUUGUUGUCGGAUUUUUUUGUUUUUAUUAUUUUUACUGUAAUACAGCUGGGCCCUAUGCUACAGAAAUAGAUAAUGGGAGAAACCUUGGCUCUCCCGAAGAUGGUCACAAAACUCAUUGCCUUCACUGGAGUCACGUUUUCAUUGACUGCGUCGUAAUAUUUGGUAUUAACCAUAUGGGAGAGAUUUAAUAUUGGCUUUUAGAAGAAGCAGAAUUAGCUCCUCUACAAAUGAUUUGCAUGGGUUGUUAUCAGUUUAUUUCUCCAGGUAAUAUAAAUGGCAACACUAAGUAUAAAAUAGACUAAUAGCUUUGGAACGUUUUGAUUUCCUCUCAACUACAGUGUAGUUCAACUGAAAUCUUAACUUCAAAUCGACAAACUUGCACUGCUGUAUGUAAGACCACCAGGUCUGAUCUGGACCGUGUGAGAGCAUGGGAAGACAUUCAAAGGCAGAAGUGACUAUUUACGUAUCAUGACGCUUUUUAGGACCAUGGAGAUGUGCAAUUAUAUGUCCAGGAUGCAUUAAUACAAGAGGCAGUUAGUUAAGCAGGAGAGGCAGUAAUAAUUUGCAGCCCUCACCCUUGUACAUUUAAUGGUAUUGGUUGGGCUUCCCCUUGAUAUUUUAAACGGUUGCAUCGUAAUGGGCUUCUUAAAAUCUGAUUUAAACCAUAACACCAGGAUGGAACAUUCUCCUAAAAAAUGGGGGGGGAAAAACUGCUGGCCUCCCAGCCACUCCCACAGCCAUCAUUUCACAGACAGUUUUUUCUGAUCUGUUAGCCUGCCAGACAAGAAUGGCAUCUAUCCAGUGUAAAUAUUACAUUUUCAACAUUUGGACGGUGUUUUGAGCAAUAUUUCUCAUCCCCUGAGAACAUAUUCUUUAUAAAUACAGCAUUAUCUGCAGUUCAGAGUUAAAUUGUGGUGGGAGGUGGCUUUAUAACGUGAAAGAUAAUUAAAGAACUCUGUGUAUGGGCUCACUUACUCUAGAAUAAACCUUCUUCCUUUCAGUUAUUUUAAUUUACAGCGAAAAUGACUUAAGUACAGCAUCAAACACACUUUUUCUCUGGAAUAGGGAGGAUCCAGACAUGAUUUUGAAGGAAUAACUCCAUGUGUAGACAAGAUCUGUUGCUACUGUUCAGCAGCACAAUCUGCUCUGUGCCUAUCUUAAAGUGGAAAGCCACACUAGCAUCCCUGGGACUUUGUAUGCUCAUUGGAGUAAAUCCUUCACUGUGAGUAUUCCAGUAAAAACCCACAGACAGUGCCAGAUGCUGUCAGAGCUCCUCACUGGAAACAGUUAUGAAAACGAGUUGAUCUCCAUCCACAGCAAGUGGUGGAUUUUCUUAGAGAAAGAACUUGUCCUGAAAUUCCCAUCUUUGUUUUAAAUCCUUCUCUUCCUCUUCAGAGGGAAAACAGGCAAUAUUUUAACCAAGACCAAAUAAGUUUCUUUUUACUCAUGGUUCUUUAACUAAAACCAAGUUGGCUGCUUUGCACAGACCUGUGCAGGGGAGGAACUGUAGCCGACAUGGCAGUUUGAUCACAAGCUUUAGACUGGUGUGGAUUUACACAACUGAAUUAUAUGCCCUGAAAUUUGUGUUUACAAUGAAAAAAAAUCUGACCUAUCUUUAACUACAGAAGCAUUGCUUAGGACUGUUUUAAUAUUUACCAGAUACAGCCCAUUGAACAGGAACAAACAUAAUCCUGAAAAUGCUGGCUUCACAUUUUCCUGGUUGUAGGUAAUUUUCCAUCCUCAUAACCUGCUGUUGGGAAAGAAUGUCCUUAUUUCCUGGCUUUGAAGUACAGCUUCCCACCUUCCCUUCAGCCUGCGCCUCACCAUACUUUGUGCCUUGUGUUUGCCCAAACCCAAUAAAAUGUUAUCAGCUGCAUUGUGACUCUCGUUUGAAACCUCUGCCUACAGACACCCAAGGCAUUGUUUUGAUGGUACACUAAUGCCUGGGGCAUGGAGCCAAAGUGGGAAAGGAGCCCUGCCUGCAGAAGGAGAAAAGAAGUUGGAGAUUUUUAUAAUGAAGAGCUAGAUAAGUAAAAAUAUGGCUUUCAACCUGGCAGAAGUGCUUCACUAUUGGCCUGAAAGAGCAAGGCGUCCGUGCGCUGGGCAGCUCCUGGUCACAGCAGAGGCUGGCUGAGG
ensembl:lncRNA